CAGCAGCCGCGGUAAAACGGAGGGUGCAAGCGUUAUCCGGAUUUAUUGGGUUUAAAGGGUCCGUAGGCGGAUCUGUAAGUCAGUGGUGAAAUCUCACAGCUUAACUGUGAAACUGCCAUUGAUACUGCAGGUCUUGAGUAAAUUUGAAGUGGCUGGAAUAAGUAGUGUAGCGGUGAAAUGCAUAGAUAUUACUUAGAACACCAAUUGCGAAGGCAGGUCACUAAGAUUUAACUGACGCUGAUGGACGAAAGCGUGGGGAGCGAACAGGAUUAGAUACCCCAGUAGUCCCUGUCUCUUAUAU
rnacentral:rRNA from 1 species